GGGGGUUUAGCUCAGUGGCAUAAGUGCCUGCCUUGAAAGCAGGCAGUCGUGAGUUCAAUUCCCG
rnacentral:tRNA from 1 species